rnacentral:sRNA from 1 species
AAAAGAAAAACGGCAAAUGGAGAGUCUGCGUUGACUUCACCGAUUUGAACAAAGCUUGUUCGAAGGAUAGUUUCCCAUUACCACAUAUCGAUCGCAUCGUU